AUCUACGGCCAUACCACCCUGAACACGCCCGAUCUCAUCUGAUCUCGGAAGCUAAGCAGGACCGGGCCUGGUUAGUACUUGGAUGGCAGAACCCAAACCUCUGGGUUUUGAAAGUC
rnacentral:rRNA from 1 species